AGGGGACGCUGGAGAUGCUGCCAGAGGCGGGGGGGAAAGGACGGACUCCAUGAGGGAGGGGCGAGGCCAGAGCGGGAUUGUAAACACCUUAGGGCAGGGACCAUAUCUUCGCCAUCUUUGUAUCCCAGCAUCCAGCACAGAUCUGACUCAUGAAAAUUGAAAAUCACAUAUGGGGCACACAUGCUCUUUCUAUUGGACACUGGGACUCCAGAUGCUCAAAGCCGUAGGUCCGUUCUUUCUCCAGGAGGUGGCGAUCCCGUCCUGGCUUUGAUACCUCCAUUCCAGAAAGGUCUGGAAGGUUCCUGAGGAAACUGCCUGUGUAAUAUGGCAGAUAUUGAACUGUAAAUAAAGAUGGGGCCCUACUCAGCCCUGCAGUGAAGCUGGCCUAUCUAUGCAAAGGAGGCCUCAAAAUAAGUCCACAGGAAGUCAAGAAGCUAAGUGCCAUCCUCCUCAACAGAAGAAUCGACACCCAGUUGAUAGAUUCCUACUCUGUAGGCGGCAUGAUGCCACACUUUCAACACACUCUCUGUUUUCCAGGGGCUUAUAAGUCUAUUGGGGAUGGGCACAGUAGAUGCUGUGGUGCACAGCGCAAGCCCGCCUUCAUGUCUGAGGCACUCCUCCCCCCAGCUGCGUCCCUCUCCAAGGACUGCUCUGCACUGAAGGAAGAUGCCUCACCCAUCCAAUGACUCUCUGUGAGGGGGAACAAAGCCUGGCCCUCUCCCCUCUAUUCAGAACAUUGGGGCAAGGCCACCCCAGCCUCAGAGCUCCUCCUGGGAUCAGCUGAGGCCUCUGCUGCAAUGACCUCAACACAGUUAAACUUCUCGCUCUGCCUGCUGCUGCUGACCUGAUGCCCUCACAGGUGCUGGCCUGAGAGGGCUCCCGAUAACUGCCUUCAUGCAGAUCUCAGAGCCUUAGUCAAUUUCCUAUUGGUGCCAAAUGUGGUCCUAGGGAACAGACUCCAAAUGGGAUUCUGGAACUGGAUCAUCUGUCUGCUAAUGAGGACCCACCUCAUUAGUGGUAGGUGGAAUAUUCUGGCCCCUGGCAUGCUGUAGUGAUACAAUUGUUAAAACUUUCAUGGGCAUGGGGCCAGC